AACUGACCAAUAGAUGUGGAUAUUAGUUAUUAAUCAAUGCCCCAUUGAGUGCUGAAUUGAUACAAAUGCAUUCUUUGGUCCAGUGCGUCCUUCUUACUUUUAUUAUUUAGCAGGAUUUUUUUUGGCUAUAUGAAGAUUAUUUUCUGCUAAAGUGCGCGUGCAUGUGUUUCCUGUGAUGCUGGGAAGCAAAUCGAGGGCCUCACACGUGCUAGAGAAAGCAAACUGUGAAUGACUAGGUACUAAUAAGAUCAUGGAAUGUCCCCAGCUUAUCAUAAUGGCUACUAACAAAUAUUUGCAUCAAGCCUUGGUCAUCCAAAUAUUCCUUAUGAAGAGUGGUCUAAAAUGGAAUUCUAAAAGCAUAUUGCUUAUGCUGUUUGAAGGUAUACAUGAUCAUUUAAACCUGUGUUCCCAGAUUCUAUACAGAAAGUAAAUGAAAUGUUGGUGGACGAAAGGUAAUCUAUAAUUGAGGACAAGUUAGUACGAGUCCAGAGGCUGAUUGUGGCUUUGAUCUCAGUGUCCAGAGGUUCUCUGGGCUAAUUUUUCUGGGGAGGAAGGUAGGAAUCACAUCAGUAACUCGGUUGCCUUCCUAAAGGUUGCCUGGCCUGUCUCCCCACCUUCCCUGCCUCUUCCUUGCCCCCACACUUUGUAAGCUCCUCUACCUGUGUGCAGCACUUGGACUUCAUCUUGCAGAAAUUGUAUUCAGGUCUAUUACUAAGUUUUAAAUCUGUUCUCUUUCUGUGUACUUGCUUAUCCUGACUUUACCCUUAGAUUUAGGGUAGGUGUUUUCAUUGCUAACUAUCUAUUAAAUCACUAAACAAUACAUAACACAUAUUUUACUUUGCAUUAGCAGAGUAUUCUUUUGCUAAAAAAAUUAGGAUAUAAUUUUUCAUACAAACCACAUCUUUUAAAGCUUUCAUUUAGGCAGUGGGAUAAUACCAUGGAUACUAUGGAUUUUUAAAUUUUUCUUAAAUAACAAGAAUACCACUACUCCAAAAGAGAAUGAAUCCUGGAAAUGUCUCACAAAUACAUAUCAAAUUAACAGACAUUUAUAGGAUUUUUAGAAAUAUUUUAAUGUUUUUACUUAUAUAAAAAUUUUCCAUAAAACAAAUUAAUUUUCAUAGCCUUUUAUAAAGUAUGUACACUGUUUUGUGCAACUUAAAAUCUUGGCAGUAAUUUUAUCAAACAUCUUAAAUCCUUGUAAGAGUACUAUUAAAUGAUUAUUUUUAAUUACUUUAGAACCAAUUACUUUUACAAUCAAAUAUGUCAUCAAUUAUAAAAUGCAUUAAUCUUUUAUUGCAUUUGGAUAAAAUCAACUCAACUAUUUCCAGAGUAGUGCUUCUUGUAAGUUCUUUUGUAUGGCCAAUUUGUGCUCACAUAAUUUGGCAUGUUUUUCUAACAAACAAAGGUAUGUUUCAUUGAAGCAAUAUGCUAAUUUUAAUUUGAAUCCUUGUACUAUUUAAUCAAAUAAAUAGUUUUACUUAAAAUUUUUUUUAAUGUUUCCCUAAGCUUCAAGAAACUCAUGCUGUAUGCAUUUAUUUCUAAGCACUAUCAUGAAGUUACAAGGUAAAUACUUUUAGAGUAUAGAUUCUUGUGACAAAUGGCUACAAAUACUUCAAUUUCUUUCUUCAGUGAUUCAAUUUUCUUUAACUUUGGUGUAGAUUUACAAAAUACUGCAUUUAAAAGUGAUGACUAUGGUAUUUCUGUGGUAAAUAAUAUUUAUUGUUUACACUGAAUUGAAAAUGCAUUUUUUCUGCCACACACUUUUCUUGUGUAAUAGCUUCAUUUCAUUUACCAUACUGAUGCUGAUGUGUGCUUUGAUAAGAUUCUCUUUGCCCAUGUGUCUGUAAUACAUAUGUGAUUAAGAAAAAAUACAAAUUGAGUGUAUAUAGAAUGGAUUUAAUAUGUAUACUUAUAAUUUUUGCACUAUUUACUCCCAAUUUCAAUAUUUUUACAUUUUAUCAUAUACUAUGAAUUAAUUUGUGAU
ensembl:lncRNA